UCCCGUGCAAGUGAAUUGGUGUCAUCCCGUGGCUUGACCACGGGAUCCAGCAAUAUAAAAUACAAAUAAAAAAGCUCGAUUUUAUCUCGCUUUAUACUGGAUCCCGUGGUCAAGCCACGGGAUGACAUGAAACAAGUUUGUAUUAU
rfam:Rickettsia bellii RML369-C, complete genome.